ensembl:lncRNA
UGUUAUUAUAAAGGCUUGGAUUUACUCUCCUCUCAUUAGAUUGUGUUGUCUCUUCGAUCCAACAAGGAGGAGGAGGAGGAGUAGAAGGUUGAUCAGGAGGAGGAGGAGGAGGUGGAGCUGGACAGAAAAGGAGUUGGAGGGAAUGCCCUGGUGACAGUUCUCCCACUUUGUUUUUCCUCCUCGAAACGGACCAAGGCCAUGAUGUUCAAUCUCCUCCAUCGACCGGUGUCAUCAAAAGGGCUGCCAAUAUCCUGUCCUUCUUAAUUCGUAAGGCGAGGCACAACCCUGGCCUGCCAACGGCGCCGAUGGAGAUGGGGAUACCGAGCCCCCAAAGCCCGUCAGACCUCCCUCUUCUUAGUGAUCCCAAUUCCCAUAAUUGCCCGGGUCUGCUUGACGAGCCAUCUAGCGCAGCUGCGCUGAACGUCCAUUCUGUGGGAGAUACGGACGCUGUCGCACACUGCUUUGGUUUCCUCCCUGCUCCACUGUAUCUCCCAUGCAGACAGAAGACUUGUAAUAUCGUUGUGCCAGAGUUGAAUUUCUUCCUCGAGGUCCCACCAACACUGCGGUCCCACUGUUGCCUCUACUGCGCUGAGGAGAGAGAGAGGAGAGGCUGCUGAAGGCCAUAUUUCCCCGCGGUGCAGAGCACUGCCCUGCCGCCUUGUGUAUGUGUGUGACGCAACCCGAAGCCAACAUCUUUGGCAGAAUAACAUUGCAAUCAAGUUAUUAUUUCCACUUAUUAGCACAUUUUCCUCAGCGUGUCGGGGCCAAAGAUAUGCUUGUCGGGAUCGAUCUCCUUGAGUGAUAUGGUCCGUUAAAUGCGUUUGGUUUGAGAACGGGAACCCAGACCGUGCGUGUGUGUGCGUGUGUGUGUGUGUGUGUGUUUGUGUGUGUGUGCGUGCUCGCAUGCAUGUGAGUGCGUGUGUAACUGACUGGCUCAAUACCUUCUACGAUUUGAUGUUUAACUUACUUGUGGGUUCUGUGAAAGAGGAGGGGGUAGCAGGCCUCCAUGGUGGUUUAUACUGAAAGUACUGUAACAGACUUGUAGAAAACUGAAUGUUGGUCUCACUUGUAAGAGACUAUCAUUUUGUUUGAAGUUACAUGAUGUUGAAUUAUGUUUUUAUACGUAUCAUUGCUCCCAGCCUUUUUACAUUCACAAUGUAUGGUAAUUUAAGUUAUUAAAUACAUGUUUUAUGAAUGGUAAAACAGCCACAGGGCAUUUUUUUGCAGUGGGUCUUUUGUGACAAUUACAAUUAUUUGAAGUCCCUGAUUCAUAUUUAAUGAAACCAUUGACCUUCCUCCUCCUGGCCCAUAUUAACUGCUGAGAGUAAUGGGUGCACUAAUGAUGAGAUGGAUCGGGGGGAUGUCAAUCAUCACAAAUGUAAUUAAUUCCAUUCGUCGUCGUGGCCAAUCAAAAGCCUUUGAGGGCCAAGGGUAUUCAGAUUGUCAUUGGAUUGUAUCCAAUAGCAACACCAGCUGAUUUGUGGAAGAUACAAUGUUUUUGCAGCAAAAAUAUUAACAAGAAAACAUUUGUUAAUGAUAAGAAUUAAUGGCCAUCGGUAUCAACCAUCAAUCAUAUUUUGUUAUUAUUAAUGUUUGUAAUUUGAAGGACAGAAAUGUCUGCAAGGGCUUUCUGUG